UGCUGAGAAACUGCUGGAGUGCCAAGGUU
rnacentral:piRNA from 1 species